rnacentral:rRNA from 1 species
CGUAGGUGGCAAGCGUUGUCCGGAAUUAUUGGGCGUAAAGCGCGCGCAGCGGUUCCUUAAGUCUGAUGUGAAAGCCCCCGGCUCAACCGGGGAAGGUCAUUGGAAACUGGGGAACUUGAGUGCAGAAGAGAAGAGCGGAAUUCCACGUGUAGCGGUGAAAUGCGUAGAGAUGUGGAGGAACACCAGUGGCGAAGGCGGCUCUUUGGUCUGUAACUGACGCUGAGGCGCGAAAGCGUGGGGAGCAAACAGGAUUAGAUACCCUGGUAGUCCACGCCGUAAACGAUGAGUGCUAAGUGUUAGAGGGUUUCCGCCCUUUAGUGCUGCAGCUAACGCAUUAAGCACUCCGCCUGGGGAGUACGGCCGCAAGGCUG